rnacentral:rRNA from 1 species
AGAGUUUGAUCCUGGCUCAGGACGAACGCUGGCGGCACGCUUAACACAUGCAAGUCGAACGAGAGAAGAGGAGCUUGCUUUUCUGAUCUAGUGGCGGACGGGUGAGUAACACGUGAGCAAUCUGCCUUUCAGAGGGGGAUACCGAUUGGAAACGAUCGUUAAUACCGCAUAACAUAAUUGAACCGCAUGAUUUGAUUAUCAAAGAUUUAUCGCUGAAAGAUGAGCUCGCGUCUGAUUAGCUAGUUGGUAAGGUAACGGCUUACCAAGGCGACGAUCAGUAGCCGGACUGAGAGGUUGAUCGGCCACAUUGGGACUGAGACACGGCCCAGACUCCUACGGGAGGCAGCAGUGGGGAAUAUUGCACAAUGGAGGAAACUCUGAUGCAGCGAUGCCGCGUGAGGGAAGAAGGUUUUAGGAUUGUAAACCUCUGUCUUCAGGGACGAAAAAAGACGGUACCUGAGGAGGAAGCUCCGGCUAACUACGUGCCAGCAGCCGCGGUAAUACGUAGGGAGCGAGCGUUGUCCGGAAUUACUGGGUGUAAAGGGAGCGUAGGCGGGAUCGCAAGUCAGAUGUGAAAACUAUGGGCUUAACCCAUAAACUGCAUUUGAAACUGUGGUUCUUGGGUGAAGUAGAGGUAAGCGGAAUUCCUAGUGUAGCGGUGAAAUGCGUAGAUAUUAGGAGGAACAUCAGUGGCGAAGGCGGCUUACUGGGCUUUAACUGACGCUGAGGCUCGAAAGCGUGGGGAGCAAACAGGAUUAGAUACCCUGGUAGUCCACGCCGUAAACGAUGAUUACUAGGUGUGGGGGGACUGACCCCUUCCGUGCCGCAGCAAACGCAAUAAGUAAUCCACCUGGGGAGUACGACCGCAAGGUUGAAACUCAAAGGAAUUGACGGGGGCCCGCACAAGCAGUGGAGUAUGUGGAUUAAUUCGAAGCAACGCGAAGAACCUUACCAGGUCUUGACAUCGUAUGCAUAGCUCAGAGAUGAGUGAAAUCUCUUCGGAGACAUAUAGACAGGUGGUGCAUGGUUGUCGUCAGCUCGUGUCGUGAGAUGUUGGGUUAAGUCCCGCAACGAGCGCAACCCUUACUGUUAGUUGCUACGCAAGAGCACUCUAGCAGGACUGCCGUUGACAAAACGGAGGAAGGUGGGGAUGACGUCAAAUCAUCAUGCCCCUUAUGACCUGGGCCUCACACGUACUACAAUGGCUGUCAACAGAGGGAAGCAAAGCCGCGAGGUGGAGCGAACCCCUAAAAGCAGUCUUAGUUCGGAUUGUAGGCUGCAACCCGCCUACAUGAAGUCGGAAUUGCUAGUAAUCGCAGAUCAGCAUGCUGCGGUGAAUACGUUCCCGGGCCUUGUACACACCGCCCGUCACGCCAUGGGAGUCGGUAACACCCGAAGCCUGUAGUCUAACCGCAAGGAGGACGCAGUCGAAGGUGGGAUUGAUGACUGGGGUGAAGUCGUAACAAGGUA